GAAUUGCUAGUAAAAUGAGCUGCCAAUAAAAUAAUCCUACAACUUUCAAUCCCAGAGCCUCUUCCACCCUCUAACACUUUUAUGCUCCCACUAAUCAACUUUUGCCGGUGUGUUCUCAGAUGACAAAGGUCAAAAAACAGGUUGAUGCUUUGAGUAGAAGUAUGGAUAGUUUUGAUCGCAAGCAGGACCUGUUUAUAAGUUACAUGAAAACAGCGGUGGAUAAAAUGACAAAGCCACCAUAGCUAACCUCCCUCUCACGAAUGAAAUCAAACAGAUAAUUGUCAACUUUCUUAAUUCAUAUAUUUUUGCUUUUUUUAUGUUUCAAUAUUAGUUUUUAC
rnacentral:lncRNA from 1 species